AUGUUUAACAGGUGGCUAAACCCUUUAUUUAAAAUCGGUCACAAACGGAAAUUAGAACCAGAUGACAUGUAUUCAGUGCUUCCAGAAGAUCGCUCCCAGCGCCUUGGAGAAGAGCUGCAAGGGCGCUGGGAUCAGGAAGCGAAGAGAGCCCAGAAGGACGCACGGGAGCCUUCCUUAACGAAAGCGAUCGUAAAGUGUUACUGGAAACCCUAUGUAGUUUGGGGAAUGUUUGCAUUUCUUGAGGAAGGCACCAGAGUAGUUCAACCCAUAUUUUGGGGGAAAAUUAUUAGUUAUGUUGAAAACUAUGAUCCUAAUGAUUCUGCCGCUUUGCACCAAGCCUACGGCUACGCGGCAGGGCUGAGCGCCUGCGUGCUCCUGUGGGCCGUUCUGCACCACUUGUACUUCUACCACAUGCAGCGCGUGGGGAUGAAGCUGAGAGUAGCCGUGUGCCACAUGAUCUACCGCAAGGCCCUUCGCCUGAGUAGCUCGGCCAUGGGGAAGACCACCACAGGCCAGGUAGUCAACCUGCUGUCCAACGAUGUGAACAGGUUUGACCAGGUGACGAUGUUCUUGCACUAUCUGUGGGUGGGGCCACUGCAGGCUGUCGCAGUGACCGCCCUGCUCUGGAUGGAAAUAGGAAUAUCAUGUCUUGCCGGGAUGGCAGUUCUCAUUAUUCUUCUGCUUUUGCAAAGCUGCUUCGUGAAGUUGUUUUCAUCACUCUGGAGUAAGACCGCUGCUCUCACAGACAAGAGGAUCAGGACCAUGAGCGAAGUCAUAACUGGCAUCAGAACAAUAAAAAUGAAUGCUUGGGAAAAGUCAUUUAUAGACCGUAUUACCAGACUGAGAAGUAAGGAAAUUUCCAAGAUUCUGAAAAGUUCCUACCUUAGAGGCAUGAAUUUGGCAUCAUUUUUCACUGUGAGCAAAAUCAUGAUUUUUGUCACCUUCAUCACCAAUGAGCUCCUUGACAACCUGGUCACAGCCAGCCAAGUGUUUGUGGUGGUGACGCUGUUCGAGGCUCUGCGGUUUUCGAGUACCCUCUAUUUCCCCAUGGCCAUCGAGAAGGUGUCAGAGGCCGUCGUCAGCAUCCAAAGAAUCAAGAACUUUCUGUUACUUGAUGAGAUAACACAGUGUUACCCUCUGCUGCCAUCAGAUAGUAAAACGAUCGUGGAUGUGCAAGCUUUUACAGCUUCUUGGGAAAAGGCAUCAGAGACCCCAUCCCUACAAGGCAUUUCCUUUACUGUCAGACCUGGUGAACUGUUAGUUGUGGUUGGACCUGUGGGAGCAGGAAAGUCAUCACUGUUAAGCGCUCUGCUGGGGGAGCUGCCCCCGAGCCAGGGGAAGGUCAGCGUGCACGGGAGGAUCGCCUAUGUUUCUCAGCAGCCCUGGGUGUUUCCAGGGACUGUAAAGAGUAACAUUUUAUUUGGGAAGAAAUAUGAAGAAGACAGAUAUGAAGAAGUAAUAAGGGCUUGUGCUUUGGAAGAGGAUUUACAGCUUUUGGAGGAAGGAGAUCUAACUGAGAUAGGAGACAGAGGAACCCCGCUGAGUGAAGGACAGAAAGCCCGGGUCAGCCUCGCCAGAGCCGUGUAUCAGGACGCAGACAUCUACCUCCUGGACGAUCCGCUCAGCGCAGUGGAUGCAGGAGUCAGCAGACACUUGUUCGAAGAGUGUGUUCGUCAGGCCUUGAAGGAGAAGAUCACAAUCUUAGUCACUCAUCAGCUGCAGCACCUAAAAGAUGCAAGUCAGAUUCUGAUACUGAAAGAUGGCAAAAUGGUGGAAAGAGGAACUUACUCUGAGUUCCUGAAAUCUGGGGUAGAUAUUUUUUCCCUUUUUGAGAAGGGGAAUGAGCAGUCUGAACCAUCUCCAGUCCCAGGAGCUGCCACUGCGAUCUCUGAGUCUUUGGUUCAGUCUUUCCAGUCUCCCAGACCCUCAUUGAAAGAUGCGGCUCCAGAGGACCAAGAAACUGAGAAUAUACAGUUAACACUACCUCUAGAGGACUACUUGGAAGGAAAAGUUGGUUUUAAGACCUAUAAGAAUUACUUCACAGCUGGUGCUGACUGGCUUGUCAUCAUCUUCCUUAUUCUAGUAAACAUCGCUGCUCAGGUUGCCUACGUCCUGCAGGAUUGGUGGCUUGCAUUCUGGGCGAAUCUACAAAGUGACCUGUAUUCUGGGGCAUUAGUAAAAGAAGAUGAAGCUGUAGCGUUAGUUCUGAACUGGUACUUAGGAGUUUAUUCAGGGUUAACUGUGUCUACUAUCCUUUUUGGCAUCACACGGUCUCUGUUGAUAUUCUACAUCCUUGUUAAUUCUUCACGAACUUUGCACAACAAAAUGUUGGAGACCAUUUUAAGAGCUCCAGUAUUGUUCUUCCAUAGAAAUCCAAUAGGAAGAAUUUUAAAUCGUUUCUCCAAAGACAUUGGGCAUAUGGAUGACUUGCUGCCUCUGAUAUUUCAAGAUUUCAUGCAGGCAUUUCUACUUGUGGUUGGUGUGGUGGGCGUGAUGGUGGCUGCAGUUCCUUGGACUGCUAUACCUGUGAUUCCCCUUGGCAUCAUUUUCUUUUUUCUUCGGCGAUAUUUCUUAGAGACGUCACGAGAUGUGAAACGCCUGGAAUGUACAACUCGGAGCCCGGUAUUUUCUCACUUAGCAUCUUCUCUCCGGGGACUCUGGACCAUCAGGGCAUACAAAGCUGAACAGAAGUUUCAGGAGCUGUUUGAUGCACACCAGGAUUUGCACUCAGAGGCAUGGUUCCUGCUUGUGAUGACAUCCCGAUGGCUCACUGUGUAUCUGGAUGUCGUCUGUGCCAUCUUUGUCACCCUUAUUGCCUUUGGAUCCCUGAUUCUGGCAAAAACUUUGGAUCUCGGGCAGGUUGGCCUGGUCCUGUCUCUCACGUUCACACUCACGGGGAUUUUCCAGUGGUGCAUCAGGCAAAGUGCCGAAGUUGAGAACAUGAUGAUUUCAGUGGAAAGGGGGAUUGAAUAUACAGACCUUGAGAAAGAAGCACCCUGGGAACUUGAGAAUCGCCCACCACCAAUCUGGCCUCCAAACGGAAGGAUUUCCUUUUCCAGUGUGAACUUGAGAUAUAACUUGGACAGUCCUCUGGUAUUGAGGAACCUGGAAGCAUUCAUUUACCCAGGAGGAAAGUAUGGCAUCGUGGGAAGAACAGGAGCUGGAAAAAGUUCCCUCAUUGCUGCCCUUUUUAGAUUGUCAGAACCUGAAGGUGGCAUUUACAUUGAUGACAUCUUGACAACCAGUAUUGGACUUCACGAUUUAAGGAAGAAAAUGUCGGUUGCACUUCAGGAACCUGUUUUAUUCACUGGAACAAUGAGGGAAAAUCUGGAUCCCUGUCAUGAGCAUACGGAUAACGAACUGUGGAAUGCCUUAGAAGAGGUACAACUUAAAGAAUCCAUUGAAAGUCUUCCUGCUAAAAUGAAUACUGAAUUAGCAGAAUCUGGAUUGAACUUGAGUGCUGGUCAGAAACAACUGGUGUGCCUUGCCAGGGCUCUUCUCAGGAAGAAUCAAGUAUUGAUUCUUGACAAAGCCACAUCAUACGUGAAUCCAAGAACUGAUGAGUUAAUACAAAAAAAAAUUCGUGAGAGAUUUGCCCAGUGCACUGUGGUGAUCAUUGCACACAGGUUGAGCACCAUUAUUGACUCUGAUUGGAUAAUGGUUUUGGAUUCAGGGACACGGAAAGAAUAUAAUCGGCCAUAUAAGUUGCUGCGAGAUAGAAACAGCCUGUUUUACAAGCUGGUGCAUCAACUGGGUGAGGCGGAGGCUGCUGAUCUCACUGAAAGGGAAAAAUAGGUGUACUUCAAAAGGAGAUAGCCAGAUAUUAUAGUGACCUUGUGGUUACCAGUGUUUCCAGUGGACAGCCCUCAACCUCAACAAUUUUUGAAUCAACACUGUGAUUGUACCAUGAGUUCGUGUCUAUUCCAAAGGCUUUUUUCCAAUAGGUUUUGCACUGCAUAAACUAUAUUCUACUUGUUUUACACCAGCAACAAAUAUUUAACAUUUAAAAAAUGUGAGUUCUCCAACUUCACUCAGUGAUUUCAAGCUCUUGAAAGGAUUUAUUAUGUUUACUUAAAUGUUAUAUUACUUUCUUUCUUAUCCAAAUCAGAGGUGCAGGCCACCAAUAAUAGCCAUUUCCCAGGUUUUGUGUCUUCAAAAACUCCAGAGCCAAACUCAUUUUCUAAGUUUGGAGACAAUUUGUCACAGGUGUUUUUUUUCUUUUCUUUUUCUUUCUUUCUUUCUUUUUUUUUUUUUUUUUUUUUCUGUUUCCAGAAUUCCGUAUUACUUUCCAGUUAUAUCAGGGAUUCUGUUUACUUGAAGACUGUGUGAAGGUGCUGUUUGUGUCACCACUUCCUUUAACGUGACUAGGAUCCAUUUUUCAACCAAAGACCUCUGAAAAUACUACAGAGAAAACUGAUAGGAAACAUAACAAUAUACUAUAGUUUAAGUAACAGUUAUUGACUAUGCCAAAGCCUUUGACUGUGGUGUGGAUCACAAUAAACUGUGGAAAAUUCUGAGAGAGAGAUGGAAUACCAGACCUCCUGACCUGCCUCUUGAGAUUCUUUAUGCAGGUCAGAAGCAACAGUUAGAACUGGGCAUGGAACAACAGACUCGUUCCAAACAAGAAAAGGAGUACGUCAAGGCUGUAUAUUGUCACCCUGCUUAUUUAACUUCUAUGCAGAGUACAUCAUGAGAAAUGCUGGACUGGAAGAAACACAAGCUGGAAUCAAGAUAGCUGGGAGAAAUAUCAAUAAACUCAGAUAUGCAGAUGACACCACCCUUAUGGCAGAAAGUGAAGAGGAACUAAAAAGCCUCUUGAUGCAAGUGAAACAGGAGAGUGAAAAAGUUGGCUUAAAGCUCAACAUUCAGAAAAUGAAGAUCAUGUCAUCCGGUCCCAUCAUUUCAUGGGAAAUAGAUGGGGAAACAGUGAAAACAGUAUCAGACUUUAUUUUUCUGGGCUCCAAAAUCACUGCAGAUGGUGACUGAAGCCAUGAAAUUAAAAGAUACUUACUCCUUGGAAGAAAAGUUAUGAGCAACCUAGAUAGCAUAUUCAAAGCAGAGACAUUACUUUGCCGACUAAGGUCCGUCUAGUCAAGGCUAUGGUUUUUCCACGUAGUCAUGUAUGGAUGUGAGAGUUGGACUGUGAAGAAGGCUGAGCGCUGAAGAUUGAUGCUUUUGAACUGUGGUGUUGAUGAAGACUCUUGAGAGUCCCUUGGACUGCAAGGAGAUCCAACCAGUCUAUUCUGAAGGAGAUCAACCCCGGGAUUUCUUUGGAAGGAAUGAUGCUACAGUUGAAACUCCAGUACUUUGGCCACCUCAUGCAACGAGUUGACUCAUUGGAAAAGACUCUGAUGCUGGGAGGGAUUGGGGGCAGGAGGAGAAGGGGACGACAGAGGAUGAGAUGGCUGGAUGGCAUCACUGACUCAAUGAACGUGAGUCUGAGUGAACUCUGGGAGUUAGUGAUGGACAGGGAGGCCUGGCAUGCUGCAAUUUAUGGGGUCUCAAACAGUCAGACACGACUGAGCGACUGAGAAAAAAAGUAACAAAAAAUAGAUAUAUGGUUAAAUAUAGAAGGACAAUAUUAUAUGUUCUCAAAGAGAAGGAAGAGAAAAUAUGCUCUCUCAAAAUAGGAGCCCUUCUAAGGGAUUUGUUAAUGAAGGACAGACAUGUGCUAGACUGUCUUCUAGAUAGAGGAUUUUAGUUUUUUUUGUGUUUGUUUGUUUGUUUGUUUUUACAUUACAAAUAAUGGUAAAGUAUAUAUAACAUAAAAUUUACCAUACAACCAUUUUAAGUCACAUAAUCCAGUGGCAUUAAUCACAUUCACAGUAUUGUGUAGCCAGGUUAUCUGGGUAAAUUUUGGUGAUUACGUUUUUCCUAUUCAGUGUAUUAUUUCUGCAGAGUCAUUUUGAUAAGUUAUUUCCUGUGAGUUUUUCUUGAUUGGCAUAAAUUUAUUCACAGUAUCUUGUAUGUUUAAUAUCUGCAGCACCUCUAACUGUGUUCUUUUGGUUUUCUAAUUUUCUUUUAGCCUUCUUUUUUUAAUAAAUAAUCUUGCAUAACUUUUUCCUGUUUUCAAAGAAUCAACUUUCUGCUCUUUUCCCUAGUUCGUCAUAUCCUUCUUUCCUGCAACUUUUCCUUAACUUUGAGGUUUUUCCUCUAAAUUCUUAAACUGAAAAGAGAUUAUUAACAUCAUUAUUUUUCUAAUAUAAAUAUAUAAAGCUGACAUUUCCCCUAAGAUCCACUUUAGCUGCUACCUGCAAGUUUUGUACUCAACACUGUUGAUAACCAUAGUAUUAUGUAUAUUCUAAUUCCUAAUCUAAUUCAUUAACUAUAUCUUUUACCCAUGAGUUAUUCAUAAGUAUAAUGUUCUCUAAAUUUCAAAUUCAAAUGGAUUUUUUUAGAUUAGAUUCAGCCAUGUGGAACUACUAACAUUCAGUCUUUUUUACAAGUGAUAAAGUGGCAGUUUCAUUAGGUUCAACAUAUAGUUUUCUUUUGUUAUUAAACAUAUAACUUAAUUUCAUUUGUCAGACAACAUUAGAUUGUGAAUUUUAAACCAUAGGUAACCACAUUCACAUAAAAAGGUCCUGGUUUCUUCCAUUUUUAUGUUUUAUUGGGGGGUUAAAAUGUUAUAAAAAUAUAUGCAACCAGUAAUUUUCAGUAAAAAUUCUCCCCAAAUGCUGG
rnacentral:lncRNA from 1 species